rnacentral:rRNA from 1 species
GACGAACGCUGGCGGCGCGCCUAACACAUGCAAGUCGAACGAGCGAGAGAGAGCUUGCUUUCUUGAGCGAGUGGCGAACGGGUGAGUAACGCGUGAGGAACCUGCCUCAAAGAGGGGGACAACAGUUGGAAACGACUGCUAAUACCGCAUAAGCCCACGGUGCCGCAUGGCACAGAGGGAAAAGGAGCAAUCCGCUUUGAGAUGGCCUCGCGUCCGAUUAGCUAGUUGGUGAGGUAACGGCCCACCAAGGCGACGAUCGGUAGCCGGACUGAGAGGUUGAACGGCCACAUUGGGACUGAGACACGGCCCAGACUCCUACGGGAGGCAGCAGUGGGGAAUAUUGCACAAUGGGGGAAACCCUGAUGCAGCGACGCCGCGUGGAGGAAGAAGGUCUUCGGAUUGUAAACUCCUGUUGUUGGGGAAGAUAAUGACGGGACCCAACAAGGAAGUGACGGCGAACUACGU